rnacentral:rRNA from 1 species
ACUACAUGAAGCUGGAAUCGCUAGUAAUCGCAGAUCAGAAUGCUGCGGUGAAUACGUUCCCGGGUCUUGUACACACCGCCCGUCACACCAUGGGAGCCGGGAAUGCCCGAAGUCGGUGACCCAACCGUAAGGAGGGAGCCGCCGAAGGCAGGCCUGGUAACUGGGGUGAAGUCGUAACAAGGUAUC